GUCCUACGGGGGGCAGCAGUGGGGAAUAUUGCACAAUGGGGGGAACCCUGAUGCAGCGACGCCGCGUGAGUGAAGAAGUAUUUCGGUAUGUAAAGCUCUAUCAGCAGGGAAGAUAAUGACGGUACCUGACUAAGAAGCCCCGGCUAACUACGUGCCAGCAGCCGCGGUAAUACGUAGGGGGCAAGCGUUAUCCGGAUUUACUGGGUGUAAAGGGUGCGUAGACGGGAAUGUAAGUUAGUUUUGAAAUCCCUCGGCUCAACUGAGGAAUUGGAACUAAAACUGCAUUUCUUGAGUGCAGGAGAGGA
rnacentral:rRNA from 1 species